AUGAACGCGAGUCACUCGCUACAGUCUCUUCAACAUGGCCGAUCAAGAGGAGUAAAGACAGGACAGUGAGGCAGCAAAUGACAGACUAAUCCACUUUCUGAAGCUUGGAUUACCCCAGGAAAACAUCAGUAACAUUUUAGGUGUCACUCAUACAACUAUCGUUCGUUGGAUGAGAGAAUGUGUUUGGCCAGAGACAGAAUCCAAUAAUUAACCCUGAGAUGGAAUAUUCAGACUCAAUGGCAGUUGAACAAGAUGGUGGAGAUGCUGACCAUGUUCACUUUGCAGUCAACGUGCCUGUAAUUCACAGGCCACAACUCACAAAUGAGCAAAUUGACCCACUGCAAGUGUCUGAUUCAUUUGGAGUAGAUGUAUACCUCAAGACUCUCACAUAUGUACAGACUUUGAUUGAAUAAAGGGAUAUUUGAAGGUUUAUUUCUGCUGCUCUAAUUUUGACAGCAAGGUUGUAAAUGUGUAUAUAUAGUUGUAUCUUAAGUAAAACUUGUGGAAACAACCUUUUAAGACAUGUAAAAUAAUUAAAUUUAUUUUAAAAUGUUA